rnacentral:lncRNA from 1 species
GACCAUUCUUAGGGUGCUGUCACCAGGAUCCUGUUUGGAUCUGAGACUUGGAGAUCUGCAUCUGAUGAGCCUAAAUGUUGACAGAGAAUGAGAGAAAAUAGGAGCCCAGAGAACUAAAGACUGAGGACAGAUGCUCUGUUCUGGACCCAACCCCUUGUUUCUAGCUCCUCUGAUCUACUGACCAGACUGCUUAAAUUGAAGGAUCCAUUUUAGUCAAGAUGAGAUAGCUGAGAGCAUUGCCAAUAUGGAAAAGAAUCUCAUUGUCACGCAGGAAGGAUGGAGAGACCUUGGAGACUGUGGCAGAAGCAGUAUGAGAUAUUGUAACUCACGGAGGCUGUUCUGACCUGGAACAAGGCAUCCUAAUUGGCACUGCUCUUCGGCACAUCUUCAGAGCUUUGUAUUUAGCCCCCAGACCUCAAGUGCAGCAACCAAGGAUAACAGUGGCAAGCAAAGACAUCCUUGAUGUGUUUGCAGAAUGCUUACGUGCAGGCACUAUCGAAUAAAUCUAUAAAGAAAGAUGUUUUUUGUUCAGUAAAAUGAAGUGAACUCUUGCUGAGAUCCCACAGAGAUGGGUCGUGGUUCCCACUG